GCCCUAAGAGAUCUGAUUUGGAGCAUCAGUGUCCUAUCCGGAGUUUCGGAAUGCAGCCAUUCCUAAUUCAAGAGGAGGUGGUGAGGCCCUCCUCUAAAGCGGGAUUUGGGACGAAUGUGAGAGAUGUCAAGGCUCAGACUUUCCUCUGAUGGACACUGAAGAACUCAGGCGAGGACAGCAGUUUUGGUGGUGAUAACCAGAAGUGGCUCCUUACACAGUCACCAUGCCCUCAUCACUUUGGCAGGCACUCUGCAGUUUCCAGCUUUGAUGGAAGAAGUCCUACGUCUGUCCCUUCCAUGAAGUUCAUCACAUGCCCGAAGUCCCUCACCUCAGCUCCCCAGAGUUGCAGGGAGCUUAC
rnacentral:lncRNA from 1 species